UACGUAGGGUGCAAGCGUUGUCCGGAAUUAUUGGGCGUAAAGAGCUUGUAGGCGGUUUGUCGCGUCUGCUGUGAAAUUUCGGGGCUCAACCCCGAACUUGCAGUGGGUACGGGCAGACUAGAGUGUGGUAGGGGAGACUGGAAUUCCUGGUGUAGCGGUGAAAUGCGCAGAUAUCAGGAGGAACACCGAUGGCGAAGGCAGGUCUCUGGGCCACUACUGACGCUGAGAAGCGAAAGCGUGGGGAGCAAACAGG
rnacentral:rRNA from 1 species